rnacentral:lncRNA from 10 species
GGAGCUUGGUGCGGAGGGCAGUGCUUCCUAUGAGAAAAAGUCCAGUGGUCAAUCUUUUGGGAAGGAGCUGGUGGGAUGAGGGGGCAGCUGGACUGACCUGAGUGCUGUUGUACUGUCUGACCAUCUCCUUUGUAAACAGACGCUCCACACUCAUGCUCAGAGCAGCAUUAUUCACAGCAGCCAGGAGGGGGACGUCGCCCAGGUGUUCCUCGGUGGAUGAAUGGAUAAAGAAAAUGUAAACACACAGUGGAAUCUUACUCAGCCUUGAAAAGGAAGGAAAGUCCAUCCAACACAUGCUACUGCAUGGACGAACUUUGGACAGUGAGCUAAGUGAAAGGAGACAGUCACAAAAGGACAAAUACCAGAUGAUCCCACCUGCGCGAGAUGAUCAGGUUUGUCAUAUCUCCUGCAUGGAGGAAAAUUGCUUUCUGUAAAUCUUGGUCCAACAGAACAAAACACCUAUUUCUUUCCAGUUGGGAGGACAGCCAUUCUCAUCGGUAUAAUGAACGUAUUGUAAGCUGUGACUUUUACAAAGUCUGAGGGAAACCAAUCUGCAAUCUUGACAGAUACGAUCUUUCCAGAUGCACUGUUCGUUUACGGCGGCAAGAGAGCUCAAUUAAUUUCUGAGGGAGGACGGCAGGAUGCGACCCCUUGUGCGUGGCCUAGGAGGAACUGUCCCUGUGUGAAUUUAUGUUCUGGUAAUUUAAAAAGAUUUAUAUUAAGCUUUUCUUUCAUUUUGAGAGUAGAUUAAAA